AUUGAACGCUGGCGGCAUGCCUUACACAUGCAAGUCGAACGGCAGCACGGGUGCUUGCACCUGGUGGCGAGUGGCGAACGGGUGAGUAAUACAUCGGAACAUGUCCUGUAGUGGGGGAUAGCCCGGCGAAAGCCGGAUUAAUACCGCAUACGAUCUACGGAUGAAAGCGGGGGACCUUCGGGCCUCGCGCUAUAGGGUUGGCCGAUGGCUGAUUAGCUAGUUGGUGGGGUAAAGGCCUACCAAGGCGACGAGCAGUAGCUGGUCGGAGAGGACGACCAGCCACAUUGGGACUGAGACACGGCCCAGACUCCUACGGGAGGCAGCAGUGGGGAAUGGGGGACAAUGGGCGAAAACCUGAUCCAGUAAGGCGGCGUGUGAGAAGAAGGCCUUCGGGUUGUGAAGCACUUCUGUCCGGUGAGAAACCCUUGGCUCUGAGACAGUCGGGGGAUGACGGUACCGGAUGAAUAAGCACCGGCUAACUACGUG
rnacentral:rRNA from 1 species